GCUGGUGUGGCUCAGUAGUUAGAGCAUUGGCCUGUGGAGCAAAGGGUAUCAGGUUCGAUUCCAGUCAAGGGCA
rnacentral:tRNA from 1 species